GAGAAGCUUUAGUGCUUAUUAGGUGCAGUAACCAAGGUGGCCAAAGGGUGGCAGGAGUGACCCGUUUCUGAGGAAUAUGCUUCGGAUUCAACGCAUUUCUAAACAGAAUGAAGCAUUUAAUGAAGAGGAAUCAAUAAAUAAAAGGACACCACGCAGCAACAGCGGAGAAACUGCUGGAAGUCUUUUUUCUGUGUAACCACAGCGCUGAGAUGAGGAUAAGUGCCAUAUGGUCGAAAGUGGCUCCCGCAACGAAAUCUGUGGCGUCCAGUUCCUCACAGACAGCUGGCCCCUUCAGCUUUUCUGGGUGGCCAGAAACUGGGACCAAAAACAUGUGCCGCUGCCGGACAGUUAAAUACUCAGUGAUAUCAGCCGCCCAGGCAUCUACACAGGAAUGGUUGGCUGCAGCUGGAGGAGAUGGCCAAAGCCCUGCGCUGGAUUUGGCAGUCCGGUGUUUCCUGGUGGAACCGAACCUCCUGCGACCAGGAUUAAAGCUGUUGAUGAAUGAAAAGAAAUACAUUUAUCAUCAUAUUAAACUCUUUUGUUAUA